ensembl:processed_transcript AV026068 expressed sequence AV026068
GCCAUAGGUUAAUGCAAGUGUUUAACAGAUGCUUCGCUAUUAAAAUAUUUCCCCCCAAUACUGAAGAAUCUUAAACCAGCAACCCUAACAGAGAUUGUGAAGAUUUUCAAAGUGGGGCACCUCGAUUUCUCGAAUCUGUGGUGUGGCGAAUAUCCGUGUUCCUCCUGCUUAACUAGCCUGUUUGAAGGCACAGUUCAUUCUCGAGCAAUUCGUCACCUCCUGGGGGUCUUCUCUUCCCGUCUACAGGAGAGUGUGACUUCAGAAAGAACUUCGGAUUGGCCAAGGCAGGUCUGAUUCUAUUUAUUCUAAAGACAGAGUUGGAGAUGGGCUACCAUUGGUGUUGAUUGAGAUGACAAGCAGUCACCUGAGCCCAUACAGCUGGUAAGUAGAACAGUACUGGAGAGAUGGCUCAGCAGUUAAGAUCACUGACUGCUCUUCCAGAAGUCCUGAGUUCAAUUCCCAGCAACCACAUGGUGGCUCAUAAACAUCUGUAAUGAGAUCAGGUGCCCUCUU